rnacentral:rRNA from 1 species
AAUGAACGCUGGCGGCGUGCUUAACACAUGCAAGUCGAACGAGAAAGGGAUUGCUUGCAAUCCUGAGUAGAGUGGCGCACGGGUGAGUAACACGUGGAUAAUCUACCUUUGGAUCUGGGAUAACUGCUCGAAAGGGUAGCUAAUACCGGAUAAUGUCAAUUUUUCCUUGGAAGAGUUGAUGAAAGACGGCCUCUGCUUGCAAGCUGUUGUUUGAAGAUGAGUCCGCGCACCAUUAGUUUGUUGGUGGGGUAACGGCCUACCAAGACUGCGAUGGUUAGCUGGUCUGAGAGGAUGAUCAGCCACACUGGAACUGACACACGGUCCAGACUCCUACGGGAGGCAGCAGUGAGGAAUUUUGCGCAAUGGGGGAAACCCUGACGCAGCAACGCCGCGUGAGUGAAGAAGGCCCUUGGGUCGUAAAACUCUGU